GCACUGAAGAGAGAUACUAGCUUUUGGAGAGGGACAGUGGGAGGUGAGGAUGUAGAUAGUGGAGACCUCAUUUCAGGUGGCAGAUCCAUUUGAAUAUACUACCUGAGGAUUUCACUCAGUAUGGCUUUUAAUUUGGAUGUUAGCUGUUGUGCCCAGUGAUUGAGUUACCACUGAUUCUGAACUAAGUUUGUGUGGUACUGUCCUUCAUGCAUCGGCAUGACAGGGUUCCAGAGAGAAAGGUUGUGGGGAUCUUAAUUCAGAUCAUCACUCUUGUGUAAUAAGCAGUUUAUCCCCCAAGUCAUCAGAUGAAAAUGUGGUGUUCGUUUCAUCUAGCUGUGAGCUGGAAAUGUUCCUCGUGUGUUGAAAUAGCAAUCGACUAAGAGUACACUCGAAGGAGGGGAAGUGGCCAGUGUUUACACUGACAGUUUAUCAACAGCUGUGAGCAUAAGGCAAAGUUCACCUCAGCUCUCAGGGACUCAGUCUUCUCAAGAGUAAACUAAAAUAACAGUAUGGGACAUACACCCGAAACAGUUGAUGAGACCCCUCUGAAAUGCUCUACUGGGAUGAAACCAAGAAGGGGACCAUGACAGAGGAGGCAUGGAGGAAAGCGAAGAAGAGAGGAGCACUGAACAUAUGCAACAUGGAAGCAGAGCAUAGCUGCUUGAGGAAGGAGGGGUCUGAGUGAGACGGAGUCAGGGGAAAAGGGAGAUUAGUGCAGCCCAGAGAGAACAGAACCAUACAUAACGCCAUGUGUGUUUGAAGAUGCCACAAUGAGCCUGCUUCAUCAACUGUUAACAGAAGAAAUUCAAGUAAAUGUACUUACAGCUUAGGAUACAAAUACAGAAAUGUUACA